rnacentral:miRNA from 1 species
UAUACUGGACUUGGAGUCAGAAGACUUGAGUAUGAAUAUUGGGUUUGCCUCUUAAUGAUGGGUUGUCUUAAGCAAAAUAUGUACUCUCUGGGUCU